GUUUGUACCUUUUGGGAGAUGCCUUGAUCAACAGGAGUUUCCCAGGGUGAAGCCUGUCCAUUGCAUUCUAGGUCAGCUGACCCAAGUUUCCCAAAUACAUGAAACUUGACUGCACAAUAAUGUGGUAAUGGGAAACUGUGUUUACACUUCCACCCU
rnacentral:snRNA from 1 species